CAAGGCUGCAGUGAACUAUGAUUGUGUCACUGUACUCCAGCCUGGGCAACAGAGUGACCCUGCCUCAAAACAACAACAAAAAAAAACCCUAAAUUUCUGAUUAUCACUAAGUUUUUAGUUAUGAAAUUACUGGAGGAAAUGCAGCAUUCUCUUGGUUGAAAACCAUUUGGAGAGCCAUGCACAUUCCUGAUCCCUAAGUCCUUGAGGUUGCACCCAUCUUGAGGAACAGUGUGCUCUCUGGACUGAUGUUACUGAAUCCAACCCAGUUCCUACUUGAUUUUUGUGGCAUUAGCUUGGCAGCUAGAUUUUACCUUUACUGUUUUUACCACAUAUCAGAAGAUGACAAAUCACACUGGUAGCAAGGAUAAGGGAGUGAUUUUCAAGGCAUUCUAACUCUAAAAAACAGUUGAGAAAUCAGCUUUCUUUAUGGAGUAAGAGAACACGACAUGGAUGAACAAAUUGUCCUGUUAUCCAAUAAGAUUAUCAGGGUUAUUAGUGAGAUAAUAAAAAAAGUCUGCAUGACUGCCAAAAGUCUCCAGACUAAGGAUCAGAAGACCUGGUUUCUUAUUCUUCCUCUUUCUAGUCCUGCAACUCUGGCCAAGUUUCUACGCUGCUCUGAGCUACAGGGUUUUUCAUUGUGAAAGAGGGUAAGAGUUCCUCCACAUUAUUCCAAUAUAUUGAGGAAACCCCAUGAGAUAAUGCAUGGGAACGUGUUUUGGAAACUCAAAAGUGCUGCCCCAAAUAUAAGGUAACACUAUUUACAAUUGACACUUCCACAAAGUUUAGCCAACAGCCCCACACAUUGCAUCCUCUUCUGGUAACAUUAAUCAAAAUCAGGCCAAAGGUGCAGGUAGGACAGACGCCUGACUUACUAGAAAAUAAAUGUCUGGUCUAUUCCACUUGUAGUGCCAGUUUACAUUGUCUGGUGAGGGCCAACGACCGGGGCCUCGGGGUAGAAGGAAGAAAGGGUAUCAGUGGAACUGAGAGGGUAUACUGUGGCACCUGGAAACCCAACCUCGCCCGGCUUCCCUGUCUCCUGUGUGCAGCAUGCUUGCAGUGCAUUCCUCUGGCAGGUAAAUACUCGGGAGUCCCGCAGCCCACUUGUGCCCACCUAGCCUGUAAGUGCCCCCGAGGGUAUCAAAGCACGCGGAUUUCCACUUGAAACAAAGCCACUGCGCGGCAAGUUUCCUCGUUAAUAAUAAGGAGGAAAGAGAGGACUUGGCAGCCAUGGCGGAUCUGCAGUAAUUAAACUGACGUUGCUGUUUAAAAGCCUAGGGGUUGCCUGCAGCCUCCCAGCCUGCACUCCAACGGCUCCAACUCUGCAGGCGGGCCGUGAAUGUCUCUAGGUGCGUAUUAAGCAAAAAGUUUCUAAAGAGGAUCGCGUGGAACCCAGCAAUUGAUUAAGAAUCUCAAUGGCCCUAAUCCACCGAGAAUUGAAAGAACUCCCCAGCCAGCGCAGCGCUUUAAAUGGGGCUUAGAGACAGCAAGCCCCGCCGGGGAGGAGGGGCGGGGAGUUACUGCGCAUGCGUCCGAGGGUGUCAGGCGCAUCUGAAGCAGAAGUGUUCCAGCCUAUUCAGCAGCGAGUGGCUGGAAAUCAGCAAAGUGAGAGGCUGCGCGGCGUAACUGAGGGACUAGGGGAGGCUGGGGGCUUUUUUCUGAAGAGGUGUGAAGCUCAGGGGAAGGAGUAGACGUGGAAACCACGUAAAGUAAAAUCGUGGCAAGUGGGUAUAGUCCUAAAAUCUCCUUCGUGAGCCCCCUCCAGUUGGGACCCCAGAACGUGCAGCUCAAUGUAUGUUUGGAAUGAAUGGGUGAAAGGAAGCAGGAGGAGGAGGGAGGUCUAGUGAAGACUCCAGAGGGAAGCAGCCCAUCCCCUGCCUCAAGAAAGCACCGCCACUCCAGUGGGAACGGACACGCGUGUACACAGCCAUGAAGGAGGUUUGAAAGAGGCCCCACCCUCCAUUACACCUUUGCUCCGCCGUGGCCCCCAGCCAAGGCUAAUCUCCCAAUCAGCACUUGCUUCCGGAAGCUUCUUUCCCUUUCCUUCUGAUCACUCAUUGGCCUUUCAACCCCUAGUUUUUUGUCUGUGUAUGGGACUGUCUCCCCCGCCCCCCUUGACUGAAGUUCCUUGAGAGCAGCAGCCCUCUUUUUAUCAGGGAAGAGAUUUGAAGAUCAGGACCUUCUUAUCCAAGUAGAUGCUGACCACCUGGGUAGUCAAGACAGGGCUAUGCACAGUUAAUGUGAGUCUACUCACAGUGUCAGGGUUAUUGUUCUGCAAGGAGCUGGUCAUAGAGCACUAGAUUGCAUUGUCACUGGGAAAUAAGCUCAUUUUAUUGGCUUCUCGGCUAGUGUUAUGUAGAAAUUUGCCACAGCUGUUACUGCUGAGAGCCUGCCCUGGAUCUGAUCAUCUAUUAUAUCAUCUCCAUCUGAUGGACCGCACCUCCUUGUUUUUCAGAGCUGGCAAAGUUGGACCAAGGAAAGUGACAGCACCAGCUAAGAGGAAUGUGCAAGAAGGGACGGAGGAGGAGCACUAUGUACUGGGGGAAAGAGAUGGGGUCUUCCAGGACAGGGGAGAGAAUACAGCAGUUCCGAGGGCAAAGGAUUGGUACCACUGCUCCCCACUCAAUAAACAGCGGAGGCAGAAUCUGCACGUGAGUCUGACUGAUUCCAAAACCCAUAUAAUAUCCCUGCAUUGAAACAGAUACAGGGAAACUGCAUGCAGCCUGGGGACUAUUGGAUAGGGAUCUGAUGCUGUCUUUCCCAAAUUUCCUCACAAAUUCUACAGUUGAAGUAUCAGGCAGGGAAAUAACCAGGUGAAAGACCUCCUAAUGGGACAUUAUCACAUCACACCUCUGUGAUCAUCAACCAUAAUCCCUGGGGGCUGACCUAGAGGUAUCCUACAAUGAAGCUUAUUUGGGUUUUUUGAUAGGUAUAAUAGUGAGAAAAUUUGCUAUGGUUAGCUAUGGAUAGUUGCUGAGAAUGUGCCCCACCCCUCGAUAGUAACCAAGCAGCCCCAGGCCUCUGGAAGGAUUGGAGAAAUCCAAGACGUGGGAUUACGAGAAGAAACUGUGGUUGACAUUUCAUUUAUUGUGCUGUCUUAAACUUAGUUUGCCUGAGAUGAGAUAUUUACUUUACUGUACUAGUUAUGUUCUAUACUAAUCAUAUUUGGGGACACAAAGAAUAGUGUGAAAAGUUGAAAUGUAGCUUGUAACUUUGGCUCUGCUGAGCUGUUCUUGUAAAAACAGGAACUCUGCAAAAGGGACAAACCACACAGCUUGACUGCCAGAGAGGGAUGACAGCACAUAAUAAGCUUCUUAUAAGCCCCUGUUUCCAUCUCACCCAGGAUCUCCUGUCUUCCUUAAAAAUAAGGACUUUACCUUAUUUCCUGCCCAGCUGUUGAAAUAUCAAACUGUACCAAGAUUUUGGCCAUGAUGGACUCCGCUCUCUGCACACUAAGAUAUUUAUCUUCCUGGUCAUAGGUAGAAAUAUUAACAAAUAAUAUUCAUUGCCAUUUAUUGAGCAGUGUGUUAAGCAUCCAUAUUAUUUAAUGGGUGUUUUUCUAGCUGUGUUUUAAAGUUGCAGCAUUUGAAUGAAUGAAUGACUUCUGAGCCAAAGUGAGAAAAAGCAAACAAGAUACAAAUAAGUUUUCUAAACAAUUUUUCUCCCCAAAAUUAGCUCUGCUACUUUGUACAAGUCUCCUUUUCUAAGUUCUAGCUUCUCAUCUAUUCAGCAGGGAUAUGAACAUCUACAAGGUUAUGGUCAAGUUUAAAAGCACAUUUGUCUGAUACCAAGUAGUCAGUAAACAAUCAUUAUCAUCAUUACUCCUCCAGUUGGUAAUUUGGGCGGGGCUUGACAGUGAGUUUGGGUAACAGGCGAUAAGGUAAAGGACAUUAGGGAAAGUCUGAAAGAAUGUAAUAAGGAUAAUAUAUUUUAAAUGUAUUUUUCUUUUUCAUGUUUUGUGAACGACUUUUCCCCUAGUUAGCCUAAGGUAAUUCUUAUACCUCAGGGAGGUUUGAGAUUGUUAUAGCAGGAAUGCAAAUAGAAAAAAAAAAAAAAGAUCUAGCUUUGAUUUCCAAAUUUGAGUUCCUAGAAUAACUGUCUUUAAAAUUCAGAUGUUGGGGAUAAAGAAAAGGAUUUUCUAGAUUCCUGUUGCUUCCAUUAAGCUAUCAAGGGUCAGAACAAGGAAUCUGAAUUCUACAGCUAUUGGUAGAGAGAACUGACCUCUGAUAUAAGAGGUAUUCUUCUUACUGCACAGAAAAGAUGAGGUGUUUUUUCCUUUCUGAACCAAGGGAAUGCCAAGGGAAAAAAAGAUAGAGAUUGAAGUGAGUUUUAUAUGUGUUGGCCUCUCCAUUCAGGGCCGAUAUCACAAGUAGUAGAUAAAUUGAAAGAAAGGAAUCCCAAAAGAAGAAAAAGACUGUGUCCUGUUCCUCACUUAAAACUCAGCAAAGGGAUCAAGUGGCCCAUGCCAAUAUGUAACACUGAAAGAGAAAACCAACAGCAUGGGCCUUUUGGCUUGGAGGAGGUCAAAGUGCACCUUUCUUCAGCCAUAUUACAUCUGGGUUCAUCUAGCCACCCCUGCCAUGCUACCCAAGUUCAACCCCAAUGAGAUCAAAGUCGUAUACCUGCCAAGUGCCCUCGUGGAAAAGUGGGUACCAUGUCUACCCUGGCCCUUAAAAUCAGCCCUCUGGGUGUGUCUCCAAAAUAAGUUGGUGGUGACAUUCCCAAGGCAACAGGUCACUGGAAGAGUCAAAGGGUUACAAUGAAAUUGACCAUUCAGAACAGACAGGCCCAAACUGAGAUGGUACUUUCUGCCUCUGCCCUAAGCAUCAAAGCCUUCAAGCAACCAGAGACAGAAAGAAGCAAAAAAAAAAAUCAAGCACAGUGGAAAUGCCAUUUUUGAUAAGACUGUCAACACUGCACCACAGAUGCAGUACCAAUCCUUAGUCCUAGAACUCUCUAGAACCCAUAAAGGGAUCCUGGAGACUGCCCAGUCUAUGAGUUGCAUUGUUGAUGGGGCCAGCUUCAUGAUAUCAUAGAUGACAUCAACAGUGGCACAGUAAAUACCCAGCUAGCUGUGAACUACGAAGAAAAAUAUUUCAAUAGAGAAUCAUUUGACAACAACAA